rnacentral:misc_RNA from 1 species
UACGUGAGCCCCGAGCGUUGUCCGGAAUUACUGGGCGUAAAGCGUCUGCAGGCGGUUGUGUUAGUCGGGUGUUAAAUAUACGGGCUCAACCCGUAUGCUGCGCUCGAAACGGCACGACUAGAGGAUGUGAGAGGUGAGUGGAACUUACGGUGUAGGGGUGGAAUCCGUUGAUAUCGUAGGGAACACCAAAGGCGAAGGCAGCUCACUGGCACAAUCCUGACGCUCAGAGACGAAAGUGUGGGUAGCGAAUGGG